rnacentral:lncRNA from 1 species
GUUUCCUAUUUCGUUAUAUUCUUUUGUGUACAUAAUGUAUAUUAUUUUGUUUUUUCUUCUCAUUAUGUACUUAGGUACUUUGACUGAACAGAUUUGUAUUGACUUCCUAGAACCUUUCCAUUGUCCACUGAGAGGGUUUAAAACAUUUUGUUAAGACAUCUGUUGCUUGUUUAAACCAUGUAUUUUAUGUAUCUCAUUUUUAUAUGUGUCUUCAAGUUGCUGUCA